CGGUUUCUCUCUCUCCUCAGACAGUCUCUCUCUCUCUUUCGCUCAGAGGGUUUUUGGCCGAAAAAACGUUGGCAUUUCUCUGGGGAAUUGGCGGGUGGACGGGUUCUUCCGAUUCUCUCUCACGGGGACUUGCUCUCUGGGGACGCCGGCAAGCUCUCACGAACUCUCUUGGGAGGAUCUCUCGCUCUCUCUCCUCAGAGGAUGCUCGAGGACGGUUUUUUCCUGUUUCACGGAGGCGGUUGUCGAAGGAGUUUUUUCCAGUAGCUUCUCGCUUACCCGCAGCCUGACCGGCGGCUUAAUCUCCGUCUCCGUCGCCCCGCUCUCCGUCGUUGCCACUGGGUGAUCACCAUAGAUAUAGCACGCAAUCAAGGAGGCUUGGGGAGGGGUUUUGUCUCUCUCUCCUCGAAGGAAACUCUCUCCGGGAGGACUCUCUCGAUCGAGUGUUCUCUCUCUUUACGGUUCGAUCGGCUAGGGUUUUUCCUCCAAUAGUGAGGGAUCGAAGAUUGGAGGCCAAAUCUUUGAGAUUGAUUGGGGUUUCUUCUCCUCUGGACUCUCUCUCUCUCUCUGAUUCUAUCUGGUUUGCUCAAAUCGCGUUGUCAUCGGCGAAGACGGUGGCAGUGGUGGCGACGACAACGACGCUUAACCGAUCUUCUCUUUGGAUCGGGCUCACCGGAUCGGUGAGCUCUCUUUCUCUCUCUUUUGAUCCGUUAGGGUUUUGGUCUCCGAUUUCUCAUUCGCCGUUUCUGACUCGAACGAUUUUUCUUUCGGCUCUCUCUUGCGCACCGGAUCUGACUCGCUGAAACGGCCGGUCGAAGAGCGUCAUCUCUAAGGCCAACUUUGGCUUGGUCUUAGUUCUCAUACGACAACUUCGGUGGCUUCUUUGAACUGAGGUUUAGGAUUAGAUGGGUAGACUGAAGUGGACGUGAUCCCUCGUGCUGGAAUCUCAAGACUAUAUGGGAGAAUCUUGACUCAAGACAUCAAGAUUACGUGGAAAGAUUCCCGAGUCUCAAGGAUUUCGGCGAGCUCAUAUUACCAAACAAGAAGACGAUGCCUUGAUCGAUGAGGAACGCUUGACCCAUGAUAACAAGCGUCUCCACACGAUCCCACCUAGUUCUUAGGUUUCAAAUUCAUAUUUCUUUUCUUGUAAAGGGAAUUCUUUUGUGUUUCCCUCAUUUCUAUCAAGGUUUCCCUGUAUUCAUUUUUCAUAUUCCUUGUAAAAUCGAACUACUUUGUAAGCUUCAAGAAAGCAAGAUUAUGUUUCUCUUGUAAUUGUUCGAUGAAAUGAAUAAAAUCCAUGAACAUUUUCAUGUAAUUUUUAGAAAAAGGGGCAUUCUGAUUAAA